GAUAACACGUUGGGCUAACCUGCCCAUAAGACUGGGAUAACUCCGGGAAACCGGGGCUAAUACCGGAUAACAUUUUGAACNGCAUGGUUCGAAAUUGAAAGGCGGCUUCGGCUGUCACUUAUGGAUGGACCCGCGUCGCAUUAGCUAGUUGGUGAGGUAACGGCUCACCAAGGCAACGAUGCGUAGCCGACCUGAGAGGGUGAUCGGCCACACUGGGACUGAGACACGGCCCAGACUCCUACGGGAGGCAGCAGUAGGGAAUCUUCCGCAAUGGACGAAAGUCUGACGGAGCAACGCCGCGUGAGUGAUGAAGGCUUUCGGGUCGUAAAACUCUGUUGUUAGGGAAGAACAAGUGCUAGUUGAAUAAGCUGGCACCUUGACGGUACCUAACCAGAAAGCCACGGCUAACUACGUGCCAGCAGCCGCGGUAAUACGUAGGUGGCAAGCGUUAUCCGGAAUUAUUGGGCGUAAAGCGCGCGCAGGUGGUUUCUUAAGUCUGAUGUGAAAGCCCACGGCUCAACCGUGGAGGGUCAUUGGAAACUGGGAGACUUGAGUGCAGAAGAGGAAAGUGGAAUUCCAUGUGUAGCGGUGAAAUGCGUA
rnacentral:rRNA from 1 species